CUCCCCCCCUUUAAAUUAAGGCAGAGUCUCCUCUUAAAAUACAAAUAUAACUAGAAAUGGCUCCAGCCCAGGAACCUUAGUUUGGAGAACUCCAUGGAUGAAGUCAUAUUUCUUUCAUCAUCUGCACUAUAUAUCUGGGCCCGCACUCAGUGCCAUCUGUGCACUACCCUGAAUUGUUCUCCAGAGAAAGCCAAGUGUUCCUCUCCAUCUUCAAGAAAGCAAUGAUGUGUCAAGUCUUUUAAAUUGCUCUGACUUCUGAUAUCAGCCUGAGAAAACUCUGCUUUUAAAGAACAUUAUCAGGAGAGUGCUACCACAUCAUAGGCACAGACUCCAUGCACACUUGAAGGGAGUUGUAUCUCAAUCACUGACCUAAGCCAUCAAUGGAAAAGAAGACUCUACCUAACUGUUAAGUCCUUGGGAUCAUCUACCUCCAGUGUUCCCGCCAUUUGGUGCCAAUCUUUUCCUGUACUUGAUUGGAUGUGGAGGGCAAGGGGAAUUUCCUCCUACCCAUGAGCACCUUGUCUUACCUCAGAGAUGCCACCCCCAGCCCUUCCAGGGCCAUCUUGCCUAGCUCUUGCCCCCAGAGAGCUCUGUCUCUCACACUUUACAAAUUAUGGCAAGAGAAGAAUGCAAAAUAAUACAAUAACAAAAAGUUUAAUGACAGUC